AAGUGGUAUAUACUAUGUAGCAAUUUUGUUUUUCUCUCAUUUGCUUUUUUGGCUCUAAAACGUAAUUAAAUGUAACAUAUUUGAACCAAAAAUCAUAUUCUAUGUUAAUCUGUAAGGUAGAUGGAGUUGACAGGUUAUUAUGGUUGUGAGGGAUUAAUAAUGUUUGUUUAAUGUAGCUGCCCCUUCUCGUUCCUGAUUAAUUUAGGAUUUUAGACAAGUGCUGACCAAAACUCCGAACACGUCUUUUAUGAGUCACAUUUUUUUAGAUAAAUAUUCCUUGAAGUCAGAGAAGGCUAUUGCAAGAAAAUACAUGAUAUCCGAUUUCAGUUAAUAUCCAUUAUUGUUUGUUUUUAGAUUUUUAAACACUUUUGGGGGGAGUUUGAAAUUGUGGUCCUUUGCUCCAGACAAGGACAUUUCACAGAGCCGACAUGGAAAUUAAUAAUAUUGCAAAUAUUUAGGAAAAUUACCGUGAAAAAAUAUUUUUCUCCUAAAUGUCAUUUUUUCAAUUUAAAUAAUUAAACUAAUUCCAUUUCUUUCAAUUAUAUAUUUUUUUUGUUUCCCUGCUCCCGACUGGCGCUGUGGUCUAAGGCACUGCAUCUCAGUGCAAGAGGUAACACUACGACAGUCCCUGGUUCGAAUCCAGGCUGAAUCACACAAUUGGCACCAGCAUCGUCCAGGUUUGUCCGGGGUAGGCCAUCAUUGUAAAUAACAAUGAAUUCUUAACUGACUUGCCUAGUUAAAUAAAAAAAACUGUAAAUAAAAAAAGAUUGUCCUGAAUUUCAAGAAUCCCUGAAUAACAUUCUGAGUGUAGAUUUGAGAUGAUACUGUAGCUCCACCUUUCGCUAUGCAGCUUAAACCUCCUCAUUGUUCUCAGAUCAACACUGUGACUACAGGCUAGAAGAGAAGUGUCUAAGGGUCAGGGGUCAGUUUGGGACAGGGUGCCUCUCUCGCUCUCUCUCUCUCUCUUGCUUGUGGUUCUGUGAUUUUGUUCUUCUAUUUUCAUCGGAUGACAACAACAACAAGAUCAAAAAAACUUUCCAGUUUCUGGUGGAAUGCCGUUCUAUACUCAUCAGAAGAGGAAGGUAUUCGGUACAAUUAUAGAAAUAGGAUGACUAGAACGGAGGUGCCAUUCAAGUUCAAUGGGGUCUAAGAGGUGGACCGGCAGCCAUGAUUCUAUUUCUAUGGGAACAAUGUAUCUGUAUUAAGCUUCCGUUCUAUCCUUCCUGUUUCCAUGGAUCCCCCAAAAACUUUUUGCACUUCCAUUUUGUUGUGCAUAUUGUAAAUAUCUCUGUACAUUAUUUAUUUGCAGUCUUUAUGUAAUAAUGGUGAAUGACAGUUUUAAAAGUGACAAUCAUCUUUUAAUGGGUUUAUUGAUUUGAUUAUGUUUUUUUGUUUUUUGUUGUCAUUAUUGUACGAUGGAUAAAUUAC
rnacentral:lncRNA from 1 species